AUUGAACGCUGGCGGCAUGCCUUACACAUGCAAGUCGAACGGCAGCACGGGAGCAAUCCUGGUGGCGAGUGGCGAACGGGUGAGUAAUACAUCGGAACGUGCCCAGUAUUGGGGGAUAACCCGGCUAAAGCCGGACUAAUACCGCAUACGACCUACUAGUGAAAGCGGUGGAUCGCAAGACCUCGCGCUAUCUGCUCGGCCGAUGUCAGAUUAGCUAGUUGGUGUGGUAAAGGCCUACCAAGGCGACGAUCUGUAGCUGGUCUGAGAGGACGACCAGCCACACUGGAACUGAGACACGGCCCAGACUCCUACGGGAGGCAGCAGUGGGGAAUUUUGGACAAUGGGCGAAAGCCUGAUCCAGCCAUGCCGCGUGAGGGAAGAAGGCCUUCGGGUUGUAAAACGCUUUUGUCAGGGAAGAAACGAUCCGGGCUAAUCCCACGGAGUAAUGACGGUACCUGAAGAAUAAGCACCGGCUAACUACGUG
rnacentral:rRNA from 1 species